rnacentral:sRNA from 1 species
UACGAUCUGGCACAAAGCCAAAAAGUGAAUCAGGAUUUGCGAAGGAACGAGCGUCCGAAAGAGCAUCCGAAACUCCGCGAAGAGGAGAUGGAGCAGGGCUCAGUGAGAUGGGUUUCGUGAUUGCAAACUCCAACGCUCAUUGGUGCGUUGUACGAGCCAGUUCGUCGGCUUUGUGUUUAUUGGAGGAGACAUCAUCAGCACAAUGCACGAAAUGGGGAACUAAGCUUUAGGACCGUCAGCCAUUGAUGCUUCUCCUGUUCGCUGGCUUUGAUUGUACCGAUACUCAAGAUAUGAAAAAAAGGAGCGAAUAUCAAUUUCUGCACUCAUAAAUAUUCACUAACCGCUGCAAGUGAUGUUCCCGUGAAGAUUCGGAGCUUGGACGAACAAACGGGCGGCUAGGCUAUGCUUGGUUACAUAUGAUGCAGAGUCACCGAGCGAGACAACAAAAAAAUGCCUUUGAGUUUUUGCGC